rnacentral:misc_RNA from 1 species
UCCGAGUUGACCCCGGCAGUCUCCCAUGAGUCCCCACCAUAACGUGCUGGCAACAUAGGAUAAGGGUUGCGCUCGUUGCGGGACUUAACCCAACAUCUCACGACACGAGCUGACGACAGCCAUGCACCACCUGUCACCCGCCCCGAAGGACACCGUGUCUCCACGGCUUUACGGGCGAUGUCAAACCCAGGUAAGGUGGGGAUGACGUGUCCUUGAUAGG